AUUGAACGCUGGCGGCAGGCCUAACACAUGCAAGUCGAACGAGUGGCGGACGGGUGAGUAAUGUCUGGGAAACUGCCUGAUGGAGGGGGAUAACUACUGGAAAAGGUAGCUAAUACCGCAUACCCUCAGAUGUGCCCAGAUGGGAUUAGCUUGUUGGUGGGGUAACGGCUCACAAAGGCGCCGAUCCCUAGCUGGGCUGAGAGGAUGACCGGCCACAAUGGGACUGAGACACGGUCCAGACUCCUACGGGAGGCAGCAGUGGGUAAUAUUGCACAAUGGGCGAAAGCCUGAUGGAGCAAUGCCGCGUGUAUGAAGAAGGCCUUCGGGUUGUAAAGUACUUUCAGCGGGGAGGCGGUACCCGCAAAAGAAGCACCGGCUAACUCCGUGCCAGCAGCCGCGGUAAUUC
rnacentral:rRNA from 1 species